UUUGGUAGGUGUCUCAGCAUUCAGUAGCUGUACAUUCAUCCGAGUCCCUCCGUUGGAAAUCGAGUCUUCUUUUUGAGAUGUAUAGACAAACUUGAUGUAAAUUAUUAAGAUACAUGUUGUAGGCAAUGUACACUUAAUUGAUAUGCCAGUAUGAGUUGGCGAAUGUUUAAUUUUAUUAUGAUUCUAAGUUAUGAAAUAUGACUUAGCAGUUAUGAUGGAAUAAUGAAUACGUUAGAUUAAUAGGCUUGCUUGG
rnacentral:lncRNA from 1 species